rnacentral:rRNA from 1 species
GAACGCGAAGAACCUUACCAGGUCUUGACAUCCCUCUGACCGCUCUAGAGAUAGAGCUUUCCUUCGGGACAGAGGUGACAGGUGGUGCAUGGUUGUCGUCAGCUCGUGUCGUGAGAUGUUGGGUUAAGUCCCGCAACGAGCGCAACCCCUAUUGUUAGUUGCCAUCAUUCAGUUGGGCACUCUAGCGAGACUGCCGGUAAUAAACCGGAGGAAGGUGGGGAUGACGUCAAAUCAUCAUGCCCCUUAUGACCUGGGCUACACACGUGCUACAAUGGCUGGUACAACGAGUCGCAAGCCGGUGACGGCAAGCUAAUCUCUUAAGGCCAGUCUCAGUUCGGAUUGUAGGCUGCAACUCGCCUACAUGAAGUCGGAAUCGCUAGUAAUCGCGGAUCAGCACGCCGCGGUGAAUACGUUCCCGGGUCUUGUACACACC